UUUGGCAUUCCGUAUGGUGAUGAGCUGCUGUGCAAUGACGGACAACACCUCAAUAUCGAUUCGAUUAAACUCAUCAAAGCAGCACCAGGCACCAGACUGAGCCAGCCCACUGAAGAAACGCCCCAUCAUCUGAAGAAAGACGCAUUUGGAUGAAUUGAAUUUUUCAAGUCCAUCAGAACAAUUGAAGACCACACACUGAAUGGCCAAAGCUUUAGCCAAAUCCUUUGUGGUCUCGGUCUUUCCCGUCCCUGCAGGCCCGGCUGGAGCACCCCCCAGGUCCAAUUGGAGAGCUCCCAUCAGACAUAAGUAGCAACGGUCCUGCAUUUUGGCAGGCAUGCAGUUGUGAUUCAGAAUGCCAGAGGCAGCAUCAACAACACUACCUAGGCUCUUUCCAUAUGGACGCCAAAUGUAUGCCCUUCUAUGGUGAAGUGGAGGCAUGGUGAGGACCUGACGUGCACAGACUUCUACUCUCAGUGAGCUCCAUCA